rnacentral:rRNA from 1 species
GACGAACGCUGGCGGCGUGCUUAACACAUGCAAGUCGAACGGAAAGGCCCUGCUUUUGUGGGGUGCUCGAGUGGCGAACGGGUGAGUAACACGUGAGUAACCUGCCCUUGACUUUGGGAUAACUUCAGGAAACUGGGGCUAAUACCGGAUAGGAGCUCCUGCUGCAUGGUGUGGGUUGGAAAGUUUCGGCGGUUGGGGAUGGACUCGCGGCUUAUCAGCUUGUUGGUGGGGUAGUGGCUUACCAAGGCUUUGACGGGUAGCCGGCCUGAGAGGGUGACCGGCCACAUUGGGACUGAGAUACGGCCCAGAAUCCUAAGGGAGGCAGCAGUGGGGAAUAUUGCACAAUGGGCGGAAGCCUGAUGCAGCAACGCCGCGUGCGGGAUGACGGCCUUCGGGUUGUAAACCGCUUUCGCCUGUGACGAAGAGUGAGUGACGGUAAUGGGUAAAGAAGCACCGGCUAACUACGUG